GGGAAUGUGGCUUAGUGGUAGAGUGCUUGCUUAGCAUGCAUGAAGCCCUAGGUUAGAUUCCUCAGUACCA
rfam:Dipodomys ordii contig_18200, whole genome shotgun sequence.